GUAGGUGGCAAGCGUUGUCCGGAAUUAUUGGGCGUAAAGCGCGCGCAGGCGGUUCUUUGAGUCUGAUGUGAAAGCCCACGGCUCAACCGUGGAGGGUCAUUGGAAACUGGAGAACUUGAGUACAGAAGAGGAAAGCGGAAUUCCACGUGUAGCGGUGAAAUGCGUAGAGAUGUGGAGGAACACCAGUGGCGAAGGCGGCUUUCUGGUCUGUAACUGACGCUGAGGCGCGAAAGCGUGGGGAGCAAACAGGAUUAGAUACCCUGGUAGUCCACGCCGUAAACGAUGAGUGCUAAGUGUUAGGGGGUUUCCGCCCCCCUUAGUGCUGCAGCUAACGCAUUAAGCACUCCGCCUGGGAGUACGGCCGCAAGGCUG
rnacentral:rRNA from 1 species